UCUCUCUCCUACAUGGCACACUCACAAUUCAAGAUUUUCACCUCUCUCAAUUCUACACUUUCUGCCUUCAAAUUCAACAAUUGUUUUCUCUCGCCCUCAUCUCCUUCAAUCACCGAAACUAUAGCCACACAUUCAUGAAUCACCCACGCAAUUCGUCAAUCACUGAAACAAUCACUCACGAAUCUUUAAUUCAGCAUUAAUUAUCCAAGCUUUUGAAGCGCAUAAAUUUUCCAGGCCUUGUUUAUCUACAGAUUCACGAAUCAAUCUGCAUUCAAAUUCCAAUGUCAGCAGAUCUCACGAAGCUCAGAGAUUUCCCUCGCCCUUGAUCUCAUCAUUCAAAUUCGUCGAUUAGAAACAAUCUCCCUCGCCUUGUCCAUCUACUGAUUCACGAAUUAGUUUGUGAUGUAGCAGUUUUGGCUGCAGGCUAAAAGACGUCAGUGGACUAAGGAAGAAAGAUUUUGCUAGGGACUUGAAACGCAACUCCCUGAGAUUCUUCGAAGAAGAAAUGCUGGUCAUUCGUGACCACCACAAGGAGACCUCCAAAAGUGCAAAGAUGUUUAGUGCUGCAGCAAUGGAUGGUCAGAAAAAUAGAAGAGAAUGAGAAGUGUUUCCAUCUAAUCUCACCUAAAAUUAUUCUGAACUUUUGUUGUGUAUCUAUGGAGUUUAUGCAGUGUUUCUCAAUCUCUGGAGCUCAACACGCCAACUGCUCCAGUCUCAUGGUCUUCACGGCAGCGCUCAAUCGCCUCAAUGGACCUAUCCCGAAGGAGCUCCACCACUCUUAUAAAUCUCCAUCUACUCAGUCUCGCUAGGGAGAUUCCUGUUGGCCUCAGCAAUAUGUCCAAUCUGCGAUACCUAAAUCCUUGGUCAAUCUUGUGUUUGGCGAGAAGAAGGAGACGAUUGUUUGGUCAAAUUUCAGAGAAAGAGAUGUAAUUUUUAUUUAUUUUUAAUAUUUUGUAAAUGUAAUUUUUCCCACCAACUUUAAAGUUACUGCCAAAGUCGAAGAUGCAGUAAUUUAUUUGAAUGAUUUAAGGUGUAAUUUGUUCAAGUGUAUCACUUCGUUCC